rnacentral:rRNA from 1 species
AUUAGACGAAUCAUCUGGAAAGAUGAAUCAAAGAAGGUAAUAAUCCUGUAGUCGAAAAUGUUGUCUCUCUUGAGUGGAUCCUGAGUACGACGGAGCACGUGAAAUUCCGUCGGAAUCUGGGAGGACCAUCUCCUAAGGCUAAAUACUCUCUAGUGACCGAUAGUGAACCAGUACCGUGAGGGAAAGGUGAAAAGCACCCCGGAAGGGGAGUGAAAUAGAACCUGAAACCGUGUGCUUACAAGUAGUCAGAGCCCGUUAAUGGGUGAUGGCGUGCCUUUUGUAGAAUGAACCGGCGAGUUACGAUUUGAUGCAAGGUUAAGCAGUAAAUGUGGAGCCGUAGCGAAAGCGAGUCUGAAUAGGGCGUUUAGUAUUUGGUCGUAGACCCGAAACCAGGUGAUCUACCCUUGGUCAGGUUGAAGUUCAGGUAACACUGAAUGGAGGACCGAACCGACUUACGUUGAAAAGUGAGCGGAUGAACUGAGGGUAGCGGAGAAAUUCCAAUCGAACCUGGAGAUAGCUGGUUCUCUCCGAAAUAGCUUUAGGGCUAGCCUCAAGUGAUGAUUAUUGGAGGUAGAGCACUGUUUGGACGAGGGGCCCCUCUCGGGUUACCGAAUUCAGACAAACUCCGAAUGCCAAUUAAUUUAACUUGGGAGUCAGAACAUGGGUGAUAAGGUCCGUGUUCGAAAGGGAAACAGCCCAGACCACCAGCUAAGGUCCCAAAAUAUAUGUUAAGUGGAAAAGGAUGUGGCGUUGCCCAGACAACUAGGAUGUUGGCUUAGAAGCAGCCAUCAUUUAAAGAGUGCGUAAUAGCUCACUAGUCGAGUGACACUGCGCCGAAAAUGUACCGGGGCUAAACAUAUUACCGAAGCUGUGGAUUGUCCUUUGGACAAUGGUAGGAGAGCGUUCUAAGGGCGUUGAAGCAUGAUCGUAAGGACAUGUGGAGCGCUUAGAAGUGAGAAUGCCGGUGUGAGUAGCGAAAGACGGGUGAGAAUCCCGUCCACCGAUUGACUAAGGUUUCCAGAGGAAGGCUCGUCCGCUCUGGGUUAGUCGGGUCCUAAGCUGAGGCCGACAGGCGUAGGCGAUGGAUAACAGGUUGAUAUUCCUGUACCACCUAUAAUCGUUUUAAUCGAUGGGGGGACGCAGUAGGAUAGGCGAAGCGUGCGAUUGGAUUGCACGUCUAAGCAGUAAGGCUGAGUAUUAGGCAAAUCCGGUACUCGUUAAGGCUGAGCUGUGAUGGGGAGAAGACAUUG